rnacentral:ncRNA from 1 species
UUAAACGUAAUGACAGAAACAAGUAGCUGCUUAUCUCCCUGUUUUAGAGAGCUGAUGCCUGGUGAAAAUCAGCACAAAGAUAACAGUGAAUUACCUUCUUGAACUUUCUCUGUGAACAGGAGUAGCAGGGAACGGCACGGGCCGUUAAUCCGCUGAGUGGAAGAGCAAUCUUCAAAAAGGGUGGUACCGCGUUAGCCACGUCCCUUUC